GAAAUGCGAUAAGUAGUGUGAAUUGCAGAAUUCAGUGAAUCAUCGAAUCUUUGAACGCACAUUGCGCCCCUUGGUAUUCCAUGGGGCAUGCCUGUUCGAGCGUCAUUUGUACCCUCAAGCUCUGCUUGGUGUUGGGUGUUUGUCCCGUCUCCGCGCGUGGACUCGCCCCAAAGUGAUUGGCAGCCGGCGUACUGGUCCCGGAGCGCAGCACAUGUCGCGCAAACGAGUGCCUUGGUACGGCGGCGUCCAUAAGCCCCUCUCUCACGCUCUUGACCUCGGAGCAGGUAGGGAUACCCGCUGAACUUCAGC
rnacentral:misc_RNA from 1 species